CUUUCUUCCUCCUUCUCCUCCUUCUUUCUCCUUCCUUCUUCUCCUCCCUUCUUUCUUCUUUCUUUUUCUUACAGGACCUUGGGUGAAAAGUUGGACUUUCGAGGGGUUAUUCCUUUAUGGAUGUGCCUCUUCUGGAGAAUUUCAUAGCAGACAAUGUUGGAGUUGUUUAUAUUUAAAUCUCUUGAGGGAUGUUUUCAAUUUCUGGUUUCAUUUCUAACUUGAAGAAUUUUUUUUAUGCACUGGUAUGCUACUGAUCACUUAAAAUUCAAUGGACAUUCGCCAUUUGUAGUAAUUUUGAACUGAACUCUGAAAUUUAAAUUUCACAGUGCAGGAUCCAUGCAACCUGUAUUCUGCAUCCUGAGAUACAUGGAAUACAACCUGGAUUUUAUGAGACACCUUACCUCAGUGGAAGACAGAGACAGGAAAUUAGAAAUGCUUGAGCAUUCCCUUUAAAUAUUAAAGGAAUGGUUGAGUAGUUACUGUUCAAUUUCUGAAGAAAAUGAAGACAAACUGAGUAUGUGUGAAAUGGAGUACAGUGUCACUUCCAGACCCUACACAGACCCAGAGGACAUUUAUCAGACAGGUCAAGAGGCUGCACUGUUGCCCGUGUCUGAGCCCACCCAUAACUUCCAUCUUGGUGGCCUUAUGUGGGUGAAGAGGAUGCUAACCCAGAGCCAGAGGCCAACAUAGAAAGGCCCAUACCCUGUGAUCCUUACCACUUCUACAUCAGUGAAGGUUGCCACUGUCACCCUGUGUACCCAUCACACCCAGCUGGAGGAGACUACAAAAGAUAAUGGAGAUGUUUUGUCACCAGGGUCCAUUAACUUCCAAGGACAUGGCAAUAGAAUUUUCCCUGGAGGAAUGGGAAUGCCUGAACUCUGCUAAGAGGACUUUGUACUGGGUUGUCAUGUUGAAGAACUACAACAAUCUGGUCUC